CGCGGGGCGGCCGGGCGGGGGCAGCAGCGGCCGGCGCAGAGCGAUGGGAGCCGGGCGGGGCCCGAGGUCCCGUCCCUUCCUCCGCCUGCAGGGGCGGCCCCGGCUGGCCGUAAGGAGCGGAGCCGCUGUAGGGGGUGCGGGACGGCGCUGCGUUGGGUGACCCCGAACCCGCAGAGCACGCGGAGUGCGGCGGGAGGUGUCACUGCCCUGCCUGCCCUUCUUCACGUGAACGGGACCCCCGUGCAGUGGGAGCGGGGCAGAGCUCCGCCCUGUGCCCCCCUAUCGCCGACCCCCAUCUCGCACCCUUAUGCUGUCCUUAUUGUAUUCUGUGCCCGUCUCACCCCACCCUGCCUCACACCCAUUGCUGUCCCCGUUUUUCCCUGUCCCUAUUCCACCUCCAUCCCGUUCCUGUCUCCAUUGAAUCCCCGUCCCAUCACUGUCCCUCCCUCUCCCCAUCUCACCCCUUUUGCUGUCCUUACCCCAUUCUAUCCUCAUCUCAUCCCUAUCUCAUCCCUCUUCUAUCCCUAUUCCACCCCAUCCCUAUCUCCCUAUUCCUAUAUCUCUGUAUCCCUAUAUCAUCCCUAUUCCCGUCCCUGUCCCCAUCCCACCCUAUCCCUGUCCCAUCCUCGUUCUGUCCCCGUCCCCACCCUGUCCCCAUCUCUCUUCCAUUCCCGUUCUUAUCCUACACUAUCCCCAUUUCAUUUCCCUCCCAUCUCCAUUCCAUCCUGUCCCUAUCUCAUCCCCACUGCUAGCCCCAUCCCAUCUCUAUCCCAUCCCAUCCCAUCCCCGUCUCUUCCUGUCCCCAUCCCAUUUCCCCCCGUCCCCAUUCCAUCUCCAGCCCACCCUGUCUCCAUUUAAUCCCUCUUCCGUCCUCAUCCCAUUCUAUCCUCAUCUCAUCCCUGCUAUCCCCAUUCUGUCCUAUCUCUAUCUCACCCCCAUUCCUCUUCCCGUUGCCAUUCCUGUCCCCAUCCCAUCCCUCCCUGUCCCCAUCUCACCCCCACUCCUGUCCCUGUCCCCAUCUCACCCCUGU
rnacentral:lncRNA from 1 species